UUUAUGGAGAGUUUGAUCCUGGCUCAGGACGAACGCUGGCGGCGUGCCUAAUACAUGCAAGUCGAGCGGAGAUUUAAAAGCUUGCUUUUAAAUCUUAGCGGCGGACGGGUGAGUAACACGUGGGCAACCUGCCCUGUAGACUGGGAUAACUUCGGGAAACCGAAGCUAAUACCGGAUAAUCUUUAGCAUCACAUGGUGCAAAAGUAAAAGUUGGGUUUUACCUAACACUACAGGAUGGGCCCGCGGCGCAUUAGCUAGUUGGUAAGGUAAUGGCUUACCAAGGCGACGAUGCGUAGCCGACCUGAGAGGGUGAUCGGCCACACUGGGACUGAGACAC
rnacentral:ncRNA from 1 species